UAUAUAUAUAUAUAUAUAUAUGUUCAUGUAGAAUGUUGGGAAUGUCAGAGUAAAAGGACUCGAGGAGGAUGCAGGUUUUUGUGAUGGGUUCAGCCCAGCUGGGACGUGGUUGGAGUAGGAGAAGGGCAAAGGUCGUGCUUAAGACUAAUGACGCGAAGGGGGGAGAGACCUUGGGCCAACUGUGAGUUGUGAGAUGGACGUGGACGCCUAUUGAGGAUUGAAUGGCCAGAAAGGGUGUGCAGUUUCAAUUUUAAUUUGAAUUUAUUUAAAAAUUAAAAUCACACUAAUAUAUUAAAAUAAAUUUAAUUUAAUAUAAUUUUUAUUGAUUGGAUACAGUGCUUAGCCUUAAUUAUUACUUAGUGUUGUAUGUGUGUUUCUAUUUGUUGAGCUCCUCUGCCUUUGUUUUUC
rnacentral:misc_RNA from 1 species